rnacentral:rRNA from 1 species
CAGCAUAUAGAUUGCUUGCAAUUUAUGAUGGCGACCGGCGCACGGGUGAGUAACGCGUAUCCAACCUACCCAUUACUAGGGAAUAACCCAGCGAAAGUUGGCCUAAUGCCCUAUGUAGUCGUUUGAUCGCCUGAGAUUUCGACGAAAGAUUUAUCGGUAUUGGAUGGGGAUGCGUCUGAUUAGCUUGUUGGCGGGGUAAAGGCCCACCAAGGCAACGAUCAGUAGGGGUUCUGAGAGGAAGGUCCCCCACAUUGGAACUGAGACACGGUCCAAACUCCUACGGGAGGCAGCAGUGAGGAAUAUUGGUCAAUGGGCGAGAGCCUGAACCAGCCAAGUAGCGUGCAGGAUGACGGCCCUAUGGGUUGUAAACUGCUUUUAUAUGGGAAUAAAGUGAGGGACGUGUCCCUUAUUGCAUGUACCAUAUGAAUAAGGACCGGCUAAUUCCGUGCCAGCAGCCGCGGUAAUACGGAAGGUCCAGGCGUUAUCCGGAUUUAUUGGGUUUAAAGGGAGCGUAGGCUGUUUGUUAAGCGUGUUGUGAAAUGUAAGAGCUCAACUUUUAGAUUGCAGCGCGAACUGGCAGACUUGAGUGCGCACAACGUANGCGNNNUUCAUGGUGUAGCGGUGAAAUGCUUAGAUAUCAUGACGAACUCCGAUUGCGAAGGCAGCUUACGGGAGCGCAACUGACGCUAAAG